rnacentral:misc_RNA from 1 species
UCCGGUUUGUCACCGGCAGUCUCAUUAGAGUGCUCAACUAAAUGUAGCAACUAAUGACAAGGGUUGCGCUCGUUGCGGGACUUAACCCAACAUCUCACGACACGAGCUGACGACAGCCAUGCAGCACCUGUGUUACGGCUCUCUUUCGAGCACAACCAAAUCUCUUCGGCCUUCCGUACAUGUCAAGGGUAGGUAAGGUUUUUCGCGUUGCAUCGAAUUAAUCCACAUCAUCCACCGCUUGUGCGGGUCCCCGUCAAUUCCUUUGAGUUUUAAUCUUGCGACCGUACUCCCCAGGCGGUCUACUUCACGCGUUAGCUGCGUUACCAAGUUAAUUAAAACCCGACAACUAGUAGACAUCGUUUAGGGCGUGGACUAC